UUGGGAAUCUUGCGCAAUGGGGGAAACCCUGACGCAGCGACGUCGCGUGGAGGACGAAGGAUUUAGGUCUGUAAACUCCUUUUUCAGGGAAAGACUUAGGACGGUACCCUGAGAAUAAGCACCGGCUAACUACGUGCCAGCAGCCGCGGUAAGACGUAGGGUGCAAGCGUUGUCCGGAUUUACUGGGCGUAAAGGGCGCGUAGGCGGUCUGUUAAGUGUAGAGUGAAAUCUCCAGGGCUCAACCCGGAAACUGCUCUGCAUACUGGCAGACUUGAGGGACGAAGAGGUAUGUGGAAUUCCUGGUGUAGCGGUGAAAUGCGUUGAUAUCAGGAGGAACACCCAUGGCGAAGGCAGCAUACUGGUCGUUUCCUGACGCUGAGGCGCGAAAGCGUGGGUAGCAAACAGG
rnacentral:rRNA from 1 species